rnacentral:ncRNA from 1 species
UAAAAAUUUAUGAUUUUUUAGGUUUAUUUUUAAUUUGUUUUACAUGCAAAUUUUAGUAAUGAUUUUUGAUUAUUUUAAUAAUAAUAUUAAUUAAGAGUAGUAAUUAGAUUUAAAAAUUUAAGAAAUUAAGAUUUAGAAAUAUUAAUAAUAAUUAAUAACAAAUUUUGUGCCAGCAGUUGCGGUUAUACAAAAAUUAAUAUAAAUUUUUUUAGUUAUAAUUAAUAUAUUUUGUUUAUAAUUAAAUGUUGAAUUAUUAAGUGAAAUUUUAAUUUUAUAUAAAUUAUUUUAUUAUAUAUGAAUUAAUAAAUUUUAGAUUAGACUAGGAUUAGAUACCCUAUUAUUGAAAAUUUAAAUUAGAAUACUAAAAUAGUAGGUAAUUUAUUAUUGAAACUUAAGUAAUUUGGCGGUAUUAUAGUUCAUUUAGAGGAAUCUGUUUAGUAAUUGAUAAUCCACGAAUAAAUUUACUUAAUUUAUUAUUUUGUAUAUCGUUGUUAAAAAAAUAUUUUUAAAUAAUAAUAAUAUUUAAGAAUUUUUAAAGUAAAUUAAUUCAGAUCAAGAUGCAGAUUAUAAUUAAGUAUAUAUGGAUUACAAUAAAUUUAUUUAAAUGAAUAUUAUUAUGUAUUGAAUAAUUGAAGGUGGAUUUAAAUGUAAUUAUAUUUAAUUUAAUAUAAUGAUUAAAAAUUGUAAUAUGUACAUAUUGCCCGUCACUUUCAUUUAAAAAUUGGAAUAAGUCGUAACAAAGUAGAGGUACUGGAAAGUGUUUCUAGAAAGAC